UAAUGGGUCAGCGACUUAUAUUCUGUAGCAAGGUUAACCGUAUAGGGGAGCCGAAGGGAAACCGAGUCUUAACUGGGCGUUAAGUUGCAGGGUAUAGACCCGAAACCCGGUGAUCUAGCCAUGGGCAGGUUGAAGGUUGGGUAACACUAACUGGAGGACCGAACCGACUAAUGUUGAAAAAUUAGCGGAUGACCUGUGGCUGGGGGUGAAAGGCCAAUCAAACCGGGAGAUAGCUGGUUCUCCCCGAAAGCUAUUUAGGUAGCGCCUCGUGAACUCAUCUUCGGGGGUAGAGCACUGUUUCGGCUAGGGGGCCAUCCCGGCUUACCAACCCGAUGCAAACUACGAAUACCGAAGAAUGUUAUCACGGGAGACACACGGCGGGUGCUAACGUCCGUCGUGAAGAGGGAAACAACCCAGACCGCCAGCUAAGGUCCCAAAGUCAUGGUUAAGUGGGAAACGAUGUGGGAAGGCACAGACAGCCAGGAUGUUGGCUUAGAAGCAGCCAUCAUUUAAAGAAAGCGUAAUAGCUCACUGGUCGAGUCGGCCUGCGCGGAAGAUGUAACGGGGCUAAACCAUGCACCGAAGCUGCGGCAGCGACGCUUAUGCGUUGUUGGGUAG
rnacentral:rRNA from 1 species